GUACUGAUGAAGAGUUCCAAACUAAGACGAAACAUAUGUCCAGUAC
rfam:Trichobilharzia regenti genome assembly, scaffold: TRE_scaffold0010222